CCCAAGUAUGUUUUCUCUCUCUAUGCUUCAUGAAUGCAGGGGUCUCAGCAGGACCAGCCAAGGAGGAGAAAGGUUUUCCUUGUGGCACUGGCCCAGGCAGGACUCCUCAGAGCCCUGGCACCUCCCAGCAGCUGUCCAGCCUGUCCCAGUCAGAAGCUGGAGAACUCUCAGCUAGUUAAGUGCAAAAAUCCUAACGCAGAUGGUGCUAAUAAAGUACAAAGAGCAGACCCAGACUGCAAUGUUUUAGAAAGAACACGAAGUACAAUGAAGGCUUGCUUGGAUUCUGUGAGCAAUUUCUUUCCUCCUCUCUGUGUUACAUUUCUGCCUUAUUUGUGCUUAUUCAGGCUCCAGAACGACACUAUAUAAAAGUAUCAAAUUUGGUAAACAAUUACAUCUGAUGACUAUAUGUUCAUUUUGGAAAACUAGAGGAAUAAAUAUUGUCUGUAUCUGAGCUGCA
ensembl:lncRNA